CAGUGGGAAAGUGGAUCAUUAGUCGCUGACACUACAUUAUACCAGUUUCAUGUCAUUUUAAAAAUCAAGUAUGGUAGCUCUUCGUCAAGUGUUUGUUAUAGUGGUUACAGUUUCUUUACUACCAGAGUUAACCAUCUCAUGCCGUCAGAACAGAGAAGGUGGACGCUGUAGCGUGUUCUGUCCAUGUGCAGGCCACAUGACUUGUGAAGCAUUACAUCAUGUUUGUAUAAAGCCAGGAGGAGAAGGAGAUCAAUUUCGUACAGUUGACAAUGCUUUGGGGUUUUGGAAUAGAUUAUUGAGGGGCAGAUCAAGGAUUUUCAAGUGAUCUAGGGGACUAUCACGUUCUCACAGUACUUUCUUGUAUACUCUCUUAGUAAUAGAACUUUGUCAUACGAUCGCGACUUCACCAUUUUAUCUAUAGCUUAUGCACUAGUCAAUUGAAAAAGCCACCCCCCGACCCCCGCGCGAAAUACCGGGGAAUUUAACAUUUGAGUGGUGUUAGAAUCAGACAUUUUCCCCGGUAGUCGGGGGCACAUUCAAUGUUAAAACCCCCGCUAUUGUGGCCCCGUUAUUUUGGUUUAGUAGUCAACAAGAAACACAUUUCACGCCAACUCCAAAUUCUUGUGCUACGCAGAGCCAAUUGCCGGGUGUGUUCCAUGCACUAAAUAUUCAAUGCUCAAUAUUUUCAUGGGCUCUAAACCUCAAAUCGUGCGAAAACGUUUAGGUUUAUGUCUAGUCAGCUGAGAAUUUAAUGGUAUUAAAUUGAAAAUGAACAAUGCUUGUAAA